rnacentral:misc_RNA from 1 species
CCGCAUGAGGGAUAGAAGCGAAAAGCCCACAGCGAGGUACGAGCGAGGACUUGCAGCGGAUAGCCCGACGGUGG